GAUGAACGCCAGCGGCAGGCCUAACACAUGCAAGUCGAGGGGCAGCACGUCUUCGGAUGGUGGCGACCGGCGCACGGGUGCGUAACGCGUAUGCAACCUACCUCUUACAGUGGGAUAGCCCAGAGAAAUUUGGAUUAAUACCGCAUAGUAUACAGAUUCAGCAUUGGGACUGUAUUAAACAUUUAUGGGUAAGAGAUGGGCAUGCGUUCUAUUAGUUAGUUGGAGUGGUAACGGCACCCCAAGACAGCGAUAGAUAGGGGCCCUGAGAGGGGGAUCCCCCGACACUGGUACUGAGACACGGACCAGACUCCUACGGGAGGCAGCAGUGAGGAAUAUUGGACAAUGGGCGAGAGCCUGACUCCAGCCAUCGCCGCGUG
rnacentral:rRNA from 1 species